rnacentral:rRNA from 1 species
GACGAACGCUGGCGGCGUGCUUAACACAUGCAAGUCGAACGGAAAGGCCCUGCUUUUGUGGGGUGCUCGAGUGGCGAACGGGUGAGUAACACGUGAGUAACCUGCCCUUGACUUUGGGAUAACUUCAGGAAACUGGGGCUAAUACCGGAUAGGAGCUCCUGCUGCAUGGUGGGGGUUGGAAAGUUUCGGCGGUUGGGGAUGGACUCGCGGCUUAUCAGCUUGUUGGUGGGGUAGUGGCUUACCAAGGCUUUGACGGGUAGCCGGCCUGAGAGGGUGACCGGCCACAUUGGGACUGAGAUACGGCCCAGACUCCUACGGGCGGCAGCAGUGGGGAAUAUUGCACAAUGGGCGGAAGCCUGAUGCAGCAACGCCGCGUGCGGGAUGACGGCCUUCGCGUUGUAAACCGCUUUCGCCUGUGACGAAGCGUGAGUGACGGUAAUGGGUAAAGAAGCACCGGCUAACUACGUG